GACGAACGCUGGCGGCGUGCUUAACACAUGCAAGUCGAACGAAGAGCGAUGGAAGCUUGCUUCUAUCAAUCUUAGUGGCGAACGGGUGAGUAACGCGUAAUCAACCUGCCCUUCAGAGGGGGACAACAGUUGGAAACGACUGCUAAUACCGCAUACGAUCCAAUCUCGGCAUCGGGACUGGAUGAAAGGUGGCCUCUAUUUAUAAGCUAUCACUGAAGGAGGGGAUUGCGUCUGAUUAGCUAGUUGGAGGGGUAACGGCCCACCAAGGCGAUGAUCAGUAGCCGGUCUGAGAGGAUGAACCGCCACAUUGGGACUGAGACACGGCCCAGACUCCUACGGGAGGCAGCAGUGGGGAAUCUUCCGCAAUGGACGAAAGUCUGACGGAGCAACGCCGCGUGAGUGAUGACGGCCUUCGGGUUGUAAAGCUCUGUUAAUCGGGACGAAUGGUUCUUGUGCGAAUAGUGCGAGGAUUUGACGGUACCGGAAUAGAAAGCCACGGCUAACUACGUG
rnacentral:rRNA from 1 species